GUGCCAGCCGCCGCGGUAAGACGGAGGGCGCAAGCGUUGUUCGGAAUUACUGGGCGCAAAGCGCACGCAGGCGGUCCCUUAAGUCCUCCGUGAAAUUCCGGGGCUCAACCCCGGCGGUGCGGAGGAAACUGAGAGACUGGAGACCGGUAGAGGCCAGCGGAAUUCCUGGUGUAGCAGUGGAAUGCGUAGAUAUCAGGAGGAACACCGGUGGCGAAGGCGGCUGGCUGGGCCGGUUCUGACGCUCAUGUGCGAAAGCGUGGGGAGCAAACAGGAUUAGAUACCCUGGUAGUCCACGCCGUAAACGAUGGGCACUAGAUGCCGGGCCUUUCGACAGGUUCGGUGUCGUAGCUAACGCGUUAAGUGCCCCGCCUGGGGAGUACGGUCGCAAGGCUGAAACUCAAAUAAAUUGACGG
rnacentral:rRNA from 1 species